UUCAUGAGCCAACAACAUACCUUCAUCUUCAUGGAAUCAGCUCCAGAAAAGAACAAGAGAAAAAGAAAAAAAUAAAAAAGAAAAAAAGAGAAAAACUCUUGUGUUAGGAACAUGAGAAUUCUCUGUUCAUGGAAUAAAUAUCCAUUCUCCACUCUUUGAUCGAUUGUCUUUUGUAGAACCUGUUAAUGCAGUGUCAGUACACCAUUUAUGCAGGUUCGUCUGUUUUCUUUUAAUAUCGUGGUUGUAAAUAUUGAAAAUAGGGAAGGUAUUCUAUCCUGGGUUGCGAAUGUAUCUUGGUAAUAUUUCGGGGAUUAUUCAGAGGAGUUAUAGCAGAGGUUUAUUUUGAGAAGUUGGCCAAGACCAAGGUGACUCGGAAAGCUCAUUGUCUAGCAAUCCUUGAUCCUGCCAUUCAAGAUUUUUGGCUUUGCUUUCAGAUCUGAAUUAUAUUUGCGUAUGCGAAGUGGAGCUGAAGAUGCCCGCGGGAGGUUGAACACGGAGACGGACAAGUUCUUUGAUGUUUUGCUCAAGCGUUCUGGCGUUCACAUUGAGUACAUGUUCCCUGAUGAUGCUAUUGAGGGGCAAGAUCUGAUAAGAAACAAUGGACCAUGAUGGCCCCCAAGAAUGCUGCCAAAUGAGGAAGGUAAAUCCUGGAGGAAAAAAAUGUUCCUGUCCUGGCCCUAGGGUUGACAUUCCAGUUGUUCUUCGAAUUAGCAGCCUUGUGCAGAAUCCAGUGUCUAAUGUGGACUGCGCAAAGGAUAUGUUGGAGUGGAAGUGCCCCAGUUCCCUUGGCAUGUCAUCGCAAUUACUUCUUACACAGAUAGAAGCGCUGCCAUUUCUGAUAUCGUCUCUCAAUACUCUAUUUCUCUGAGCAGAACCAGGAUACAAAACUUAGCUACAUCUCAGAACAUUGCUGAAUCUUUGCGUCUCAUACCUUACGUUCUUUGGUAUCACUGUACCCAGAGCAUUUUCCUUUUCUUUUUCUGUUGGCAAUCCGCGCAAGCAUCCAAAUCUUUUGGCCUAUUUAUAUUUAUUCAUUGUCUGGAAUUGGUAAAUCUCUCAGGCCGGAGAAGAAUUAUAUGUUAGGUUGGCGGAAGAGAUAGCCAACAGAAAGGGUAGGUCGAGCAGGAGUUGCAGCUUGGGAGCUUCAUCACUGCCUCCAAUUGUCUGCUAGACAUUCCAUUAAUCCCAUUAAUUAUGAAAAACUCCUCAAGAGAAGAAAUAUUCUGAUUCAACCAUGGCUUUUACUAAUGCCUUCGGAUGAUGUUUAUGCAGCAUCCACUUAAAGAAGAAGAGUCUGGGAGCAAAGGUAGCAGCAGGGUGGUAUGUAUCAUUGAUACUAUGGCAAUGCGUGCAUGUGUCAAAGCUCUAUAUAUAAAGAUUCUAUCUUCUCGCAUUUAUGGUGACAAAGAAGAGUUCCCCUUUUGAAACUUCAAAUUUCUUUAUAUGUUUGAUCCUAUGAAUUGGAGCUCCAUGAAGAUUUUCUCACCUUCAUGGUGACAAAAGAAGAGUUCCCCUUUUGAAACUUCAGAUUUCCUCAUUUGUUUGAUCAUGAAGAUUGGAGGAUGUAAAUGCGACCAAGAAUUCAGUCUAUCGAUCUCUUGCUACUUUUCUCUUAUUCUUGAUUUUUUAGAGAGAGAGAGAGGAGGUCUGAUGUUUAGGUUUUUCUUGUAUGUCGGUAAGCGGAAAAUCACAAGUCUAGACAAGAAUAUAUUUAUAUGUAAUUCCGUUUAGUGCUGCUAUAGUUAUUCUUUACUGAGCAUUGAAUAUGCAUUUCAUUCUGUGAUGCUACAUUGGUUCUUUA